rnacentral:rRNA from 1 species
UGGGGAAUAUUGGACAAUGGGCGGAAGCCUGAUCCAGCCAUGCCGCGUGUGUGAAGAAGGCCUUUUGGUUGUAAAGCACUUUAAGCGAGGAGGAGGCUACUUGGAUUAAUACUCUAGGAUAGUGGACGUUACUCGCAGAAUAAGCACCGGCUAACUCUGUGCCAGCAGCCGCGGUAAUACAGAGGGUGCGAGCGUUAUUCGGAUUUACUGGGCGUAAAGCGUGCGUAGGCGGCUUCUUAAGUCGGAUGUGAAAUCCCUGAGCUUAACUUAGGAAUUGCAUUCGAUACUGGGAAGCUAGAGUAUGGGAGAGGAUGGUAGAAUUCCAGGUGUAGCGGUGAAAUGCGUAGAGAUCUGGAGGAAUACCGAUGGCGAAGGCAGCCAUCUGGCCUAAUACUGACGCUGAGGUACGAAAGCAUGGGGAGCAAACAGG